ACGAACGCUGGCGGCAGGCCUAACACAUGCAAGUCGAACGCCGUAGCAAUACGGAGUGGCAGACGGGUGAGUAACGCGUGGGAAUAUCCCCCUCAGUACGGAAUAGCUCAGGGAAACUUGGGGUAAUACCGUAUACGUCCGUGAGGAGAAAGAUUUAUCGCUGAGGGAUUAGCCCGCGUAGGAUUAGCUAGUUGGUGAGGUAAUGGCUCACCAAGGCGACGAUCCUUAGCUGGUCUGAGAGGACGACCAGCCACACUGGGACUGAGACACGGCCCAGACUCCUACGGGAGGCAGCAGUGGGGAAUAUUGGACAAUGGGCGAAAGCCUGAUCCAGCCAUGCCGCGUGAGUGAUGAAGGCCUUAGGGUUGUAAUGCUCUUUUGGCGGGGACGAUAAUGACGGUACCCGCAGAAUAAGCCCCGGCUAACUUCGU
rnacentral:rRNA from 1 species